CGCCUGUUUAUCAAAAACAUAGCUUCUGGAAAUUAUAAGAAGUGCUGUCUGCCCGGUGAUCUAGGGAUUUAACGGCCGCGAUAUUCGUGCUAAGGUAGCAUAAUCAUUUGUCUUUUUAUUGAAGGCUAGUAUGAAUGGACUUACGAGGCUAAGCUGUCUCUAUUUAUAGUGUAUAAAUUGAUUUAUAGGUGCAAAAUCCUUUAUAAGAGUGAAGGACGAUAAGACCCUAUAGAGUUUGUAGUGUAAUAGCACUUACAGUAGAUGUAUAAGGAGUUAUACACUUUUAUUGGGGCAAUAGAAGAACAUUAAAAUUCUAAGAUGAAAAGUUUAUGAUAAUAAAGUUAUGAUCCUUUAAAAGAAUUAAGAAAAACUACCUUAGGGAUAACAGCGUAAUUCUACCAGAGAGAACUAAUUGAAGGAAGAGUUUGCGACCUCGAUGUUGGACUAAGGGUUCCCUAAAGUGCAGAAGCUUUAUUUGUAGGCCUGUUCGGCCUUUAAUACCUUACAUGAUCUGAGUUCAGACCGGAAU
rnacentral:rRNA from 1 species